GAAAUGCGAUAAGUAAUGUGAAUUGCAGAAUUCAGUGAAUCAUCGAAUCUUUGAACGCACCUUGCGCUCCUUGGUAUUCCUUGGAGCAUGCCUGUUUGAGUAUCAUGAAAUCUUCAAAGUAAAUCUUUUGUUAACUCAAUUGGUUUCUACUUUGGUAUUGGAGGUCUUUGCAGCUUCACACCUGCUCCUCUUUGUUCAUUAGCUGGAUCUCAGUGUUAUGCUUGGUUCCACUCGGCGUGAUAAGUUAUCUAUCGCUGAGGACACUGUAAAAGGUGGCCAAGGUAAAUGCAGAUGAACCGCUUCUAAUAGUCCAUUGACUUGGACAAUACUUUUAUGAUCUGAUCUCAAAUCAGGUAGGACUAUCCGCUGAACUUAAGC
rnacentral:misc_RNA from 1 species